rnacentral:rRNA from 1 species
GGAUGAGCCUACGGCGGAUUAGCUUGUUGGUAGGGUAAUGGCCUACCAAGGCGACGAUCCGUAGCUGGUUUGAGAGAACGACCAGCCACACUGGGACUGAGAUACGGCCCAGACUCCUACGGGAGGCAGCAGUGGGGAAUAUUGGACAAUGGGGGAAACCCUGAUCCAGCAAUGCCGCGUGUGCGAUGAAGGCCUGCGGGUUGUAAAGCACUUUCGGUGGGGAAGAAAUGCUCAGGGCUAAUAACUCUGAGAGUUGACAUUACCCACAGAAGAAGCACCGGCUAACUCUGUGCCAGCAGCCGCGGUAAUACAGAGGGUGCAAGCGUUAAUCGGAAUUACUGGGCGUAAAGGGCGCGUAGGCGGAUAUUUAAGUCGGAUGUGAAAUCCCUGGGCUUAACCUAGGAAUGGCAUUCGAUACUGGGUAUCUGGAGUAUGGUAGAGGAAAGUGGAAUUCCCGGUGUAGCGGUGAAAUGCGUAGAUAUCGGGAAGAACAUCAAGGCGAAGGCAGCUUUCUGGACCAAUACUGACGCUGAGGCGCGAAAGCGUGGGGAGCAAACAGGAUUAGAGACCCUGGUAGUCCACGCUGUAAACGAUGGGUGCUAGACGUUGGCCUAGCUAUUUAUAGUCAGGUUAGUGUCGUAGCUAACGCGAUAA